UGGGGAAUAUUGCACAAUGGGCGCAAGCCUGAUGCAGCCAUGCCGCGUGUGUGAAGAAGGCCUUCGGGUUGUAAAGCACUUUCAGCGAGGAGGAAGGUGGUGAACUUAAUACGUUCAUCAAUUGACGUUACUCGCAGAAGAAGCACCGGCUAACUCCGUGCCAGCAGCCGCGGUAAUACGGAGGGUGCAAGCGUUAAUCGGAAUUACUGGGCGUAAAGCGCACGCAGGCGGUUUGUUAAGUCAGAUGUGAAAUCCCCGGGCUCAACCUGGGAACUGCAUUUGAAACUGGCAAGCUAGAGUCUCGUAGAGGGGGGUAGAAUUCCAGGUGUAGCGGUGAAAUGCGUAGAGAUCUGGAGGAAUACCGGUGGCGAAGGCGGCCCCCUGGACGAAGACUGACGCUCAGGUGCGAAAGCGUGGGGAGCAAAACAGGAUUAGAUACCCUGGUAGUCCACGCUGUAAAACGAUGUCGAUUUGGAGGUUGUGCCCUUGAGGCGUGGCUUCCGGAGCUAACGCGUUAAAUCGACCGCCUGGGGAGUACGGCC
rnacentral:rRNA from 1 species